UGGCUCCAGCAUNGAUGAAGAACGCAGCGAAAUGCGAUAGGUAGUGUGAAUUGCAGAACCCAGUGAAUCAUCGAAUCUUUGAACGCACAUUGCGCCCCCUGGCAUUCCGGGGGGCAUGCCUGUCUGAGCGUCUGCACCCCUCUCGAGCGCGGCCUGCCUCGGUCUUGGGCCGCGCCGCGGCGGCGAGCCCCAAUUACAGCGGCGGGUCCGUGUGGCCCCGGGCGAAGCAGUAUCUCACAGCCCGGGUGUUACUCGCGACCAGCCGAAACCCCUCCGAUAGUUGACCUCAGAUCAGGCAGGGAUACCCGCUGA
rnacentral:misc_RNA from 1 species